AAAGAGCACUAAGCUCCCAGGGUUGCGGGCGCUCGUGGACGCUCUGCUCGUCCCUUUCGCGGGCCCCGCAGUUGUGGAUCGUAUUCCCUUUUGCCCCGAGGCCGCCGCCACGACCUUGAGCACACGCACACACCAUGUGACGCCGCCUCCAAACCCUCGCCCUGGCCCUCCGCCGCGCUGCAGCCGGAGCCACAGCGGCCUCCACCCCCGUCACCGCCCGAACCGCUCCCUUCUCCACGGCGCCCGCCGCCUUCCGCCGCACCACUACGCUCCUCUCAGGGGACAAACCGCUGACUGUAGAUCACAUCGUGCCCAUAGCCAUGGGGCAUGAGCACGAGGAGGUGGAGGCGGAGCUCCAGAUGAGAUGGAUUGUGACUUGGGGGGAAAAAGCACUUUGACAUUGAUCCUCCCGUAGCCCCCUUUGGUACCAAGUGUAGAUCUCCUAUGAUGAUGAUAUUUCAAGAUUCAUUGGAAGUGAAAGGAAAAGAACAAACCAGAAGCCACCAGUCUGAUCGUGCAUGCAUAAGAUAGGCUUGUGUUCUCGUGGUUAACUGACCUAUUAUUUUAGUUAGUACUAACUGACCUCGUGUUAGGCACUGAUUACAAUAUGUUAAUCUUUAAAAUAAUAAUUUCCUUUAGGUAUCAUAUUUCUAUCAUGCUCAGUAGUGGUUUCUCAACAAUCCUGUUUAUUGUUAGUGAAUAGUUAAAGUUAUUCACUAUACUUUAAGUAAUUGACGGUAACAAAUCUUGUGUUGUAUGCAAGAGAAACCUGAAGUCCUGAGCAUCAACAUACGAUGAUUCCGCUCUUCCACUUAUAAUGGUGUGACCAUCCCACAUUUAAAUAAGGAUGGAUGAUGAUCCAUUUAUACUUCUCAAUCCAGUCUUCUGUAAUAUUUUUUCAUGUAACAAAUAUCUGUAGGGCACAGACAUACAAGUAUAAUGUGCCAUUUAUCUUCUUGCACUAGACCAUGUAUGCCUUAAAACUUCAAUUCAGUACACUGAUGUAUACACAAUGACAUAUUGGUCAGAUUGAUCCAGAUUGUAGAGACAAUAGGUCAAAGCAAUUUUGUUAUUAUUGAGCAUAUAUCUCUUCUUGGAAGUGUAUAUCUUAUGAAUGUUUCCAUAUUCAGCAUUUUUUUGAAUAUUU